rnacentral:rRNA from 1 species
UUUUGAAUAUUGGACAAUGGGCGCAACUCUGAUCCAGCCAUGCCGCGUGCGUGAAGACGGCCCUAUGGGUGGAAAACUGUUUUUAUAUGGGAAGAAACUUAUUUACGUGUACCUUAUUGACGGGACUAUACCUGUAAAGAUCGGCUCGCUUAAUGCCAGCCAGCGCGGCGAUGUAAUA